ensembl:misc_RNA Metazoa_SRP Metazoan signal recognition particle RNA
GCCAGGCGUGGUGGUGCGUGCCUGUAGUCCCAGCUACUGCAGAGGCUGAGGUGCGAGGAUCAUUUGGGUCCAGGAGUUCUGGGCUGUAGUGCACUAUGCUGAUCCGGUGUCCACACUAAAUUCGGCAUCAAUAUGGUGACCUUCCAGGAAUGGGGUACCACCAGGUUGCCUGAGGAAGGGUAAACCGGCCCAGGUCAGAAAUGGAACAGGUCAAAACUCCCGUACUGAUCAGUAGUGGGAUCACACCUGUGAAUAGCCACUGCACUCCAGCCUGGGCAACAUUGCGAGACCUCUUCUCUU